CGGAGGACACCGCAGCUGGAGGAGGGUUUCCGCCGGUUGUGCGGGGACCGCGGCUCAGUAGUGUGGGUGGACGAGGACAGCGGGUGGAACUGGUCCUUCUGUGACUUUGCAGCCCCGGCUUGGUGAUAAUUUUUGUGCAGGCUUCUUGACAUGGAAAGCAGAGCUCCCCAGCACAGAGUGAGCCUCCGAAGGGCUCCUGCCCUUACCGGUGCCCUACCCUCCCUUUCCCUGCUUGCUACACUUGGGUCCGGGACUCAGCCUCCCUUUGCAAGCUUCUGCUCGGCCUGUGUGCAGCUGCACUUAGCUGGCAGGGUCAGGCGUUGAGUAGCCGCUCCGCUCCUUCUGCAGCCUCCUGCAGCCCCCGCCAGCUCCCGGGCUCCAUCCCUCACCAUCAGUUGCUGAUUGGCGCCCCCUGCGUGCACAACGGAGGCUGGCUGCACCUGGAGGUUCCCAGCAAUUCCAGGCCGGCUCCAGCCUAGCCAAAGCAGCUAACUUCUCUGCUGUCUCGUGGGCUGAACCUCACCGUUUCCCAAGAGGAGCUGCCUGGCAAUGGUAGCAGGUGAAGGUCAUGGUGAAGAAGAUGCAGAUAUUGGCAAUUUGGAGCAUUAGAUGAACUAAUUACAACGUUAACCUAAGGAACAGUGCAACAGAAAAUGGGCUAAGACAUGGAGCAAGGGGCAGAACGACUCUUGAAGAUGCUGAGCAACUUCUGCUCAGCCACUUGGGUCUCCUUUGCCAAGGAGUGUCCUCCCUCUGGAACUCAAUACCAGCUCUUUCUUCUUCUG
rnacentral:lncRNA from 10 species